GGAAUCAACGCUGGCGGCGUGCCUAACACAUGCAAGUCGAACGCGAAAGUCCCGCAAGGGAUCAGUAGAGUGGCAAACGGGUGAGUAACACGUGGGUGACCUGCCUUCGAGUGGGGGAUAACGUCCCGAAAGGGACGCUAAUACCGCAUAACAUCCCGCCUUUUAACAGGUGGACAUCAAAGCUGGGGAUCGCAAGACCUAGCGCUUGAAGAGGGGCCCGCGCCUGAUUAGCUAGUUGGUGGGGUAAUGGCUCACCAAGGCAACGAUCAGUA
rnacentral:rRNA from 1 species